rnacentral:rRNA from 1 species
AGUGAACGCUGGCGGUAGGCCUAACACAUGCAAGUCGAACGGCAGCACAGUAAGAGCUUGCUCUUACGGGUGGCGAGUGGCGGACGGGUGAGGAAUACAUCGGAAUCUACUUUUUCGUGGGGGAUAACGUAGGGAAACUUACGCUAAUACCGCAUACGACCUACGGGUGAAAGCAGGGGAUCUUCGGACCUUGCGCGAUUGAAUGAGCCGAUGUCGGAUUAGCUAGUUGGCGGGGUAAAGGCCCACCAAGGCGACGAUCCGUAGCUGGUCUGAGAGGAUGAGCAGCCACACUGGAACUGAGACGCGGUCCAGCCCCCGCCGGGGGGCGCCAGUGGGGAAUUUUGGACAAUGGGCGCAAGCUUGCUCCAGCAUUCCCGGGGGGGGAAAAAAGGCCUUGGGGUUGAAAGCCCCUUUUGUUGGGAAAAAAAAGCAGCGGUUUAAUCCCCCGCUGUUCUGACGGUACCAAAAAAAAAAGCCCCGGCUAACUUCGUG